ACAAGGUUAGUUUAUACAAGAUGAAGGUGAAAGGAAAUGAAAAUUAUGUCGUGAAGUAUUCUUUGCGUGGAUUUCCACAAGCGUUCCAGGUAUGGACAUAUGAGAUCCUAACUGCAUCAAUAGCUGAGAACAUUGCAGAGCAAAGGAGCAAGGUGGUUUUGCCUUGCAUAUUACGAUGGUCAUGCUCCCACUCAGUGUCCUUCAAAGUACUCGAGAGAGAUAUAUUCGAGUCUAACAAUGUACAUUUACUUUAUGCAUAAUAUGUUUAUUUGGUUGUUAAAUUAACACUAACCAAUUUACUGGGUUGUUAAUGCAGAUAAAGGUUAAAGAGGGUAUUGUCAUGAUAGACACUGAGAGGGAGUUUCGGGAUACCCCAGUGGACAGACGACCUAUAUUUGAUCUAGGUGCCAAUGAUGAUAGUGCUGAAAGUAGCAAUACGUCGAGUAGUGGGGGGUAGUUCUGAAAGCGACAGUGAUGAUCAUUAUGGAGGUAACAAUGAUGAAUGUGGACGGGUGGAGGGAGGGGAUGAACAUGAGCAUUCUGAGCACGAGGAUGUUGAAUGUGGAAGGGUGGAAGGAGGGGAUGAACACAAGUAUUUUGAGCACGAGGAUGUUGAAUGUGGAAGGGUGGAAGGAGGGACAUACACACCUAAUGAUGAUAUGUUCCAUGAUGUGAUGGGGGAUGUACACGAUGAGGACCCACCUGAUGUUCAUCUUGCAAACUCCCAUAGAGGAGAGCGAUCUAUGGAUGAAGAGUGUCCUGAGUGUGCUGCCCGCAGGGAAGGAGCCAAUCCGAACGAUUCUAUUUAUCCGUACCUGCGGACGAUUAAUAGCUCACUAUCGAGGUUGGAUGGUCGUAUAUCGAGUUUAAAUAGUCAUGUAUCAAAUAUAGAGGAAAACAUGACAGACAUGAAAGGACAAUUGUCGGUCAUCCUGUCACUGUUGCAGUUAAUGUGCAAGGGUUCCACGGUGAAUAAGGAGACGACAAGGUUACCCAUCCAUUUCGGGAUCCCGAUACCAUUGAUGCGACUGCCUCUGAUACUCCUAUCCCUCUUGUAGAGCCUUAAAAUACCACCACUUCACCUACUCCCAUCCCCCCUCUAAAGCCUGAUACCACAACAUCACCCACUGGCGUUGAACCUAUAGAGGCCGACGUCCCACAAACAGAGGCCGACAUAUCUGACUUACUCACCAUGCCACAUACAAAGGUGACAUGUUUGACAUCCCAGAGGCCGACACUUCUGGUAUUGUUACGACCACAGAAGAAGUUACACUAGAAUCUCGAAGAACUACUAGUAAGAGGAAAGUUGUUGAUAAAUAUACGCCUUCAGCUCAAGUAAAAAAGAAAAGUGUGGUUAAUUAUCCUCUCCCAGGUGUGCCUAUGUCACUAUCCAGAGCAAUUGUCACGUACAACGUAGCACAUGAUGUUCCACUUAAUAUCUUUACAGAAAUGAUGGGCUAGAUCUCAGAUGAGAAUACUAAUAACGAGGUUCGAGAGAAUUCCUUUAAACCACUUGCCAAGCAAUUUUUCAAGGAAUUGAUUGAACCGAGUUCGUGGGUCGAGUACGAUUCACCUUAAUGCUUGUGGCGGGGUAUUUAAACGAAUAAAGAAUAAGACGAGACUGGAGGCUGCCAUAACAUGGAAGGAUGAAGACACGUACAAGUUCUACAUCACCGGUAAAUUCGAUGUCAAAUGGGCGAAUGUGGAUAUAGUGUAUACGACAAUGAAUAUCAGUGAGCCCUGGAUGGUCCUUGCAAUGGACAUUAACAGAGGUCAUAUAUUUGUGUUCGAUUCACUUCCGUCAUACACACCAAGGACAAAGCUGGUGAAUUGGUUGGAGCCAUUGACUGUCACAGUACCAUCCCCACUUCACUACUGUGACGUGGAUUAUUCAAAGUCGGACCUAUCCACACCUCGUUGGAAAAUCUUGUGACCUAUAAAUGCGACAUACAACACGGGUCGCUUGAUUGUGGCAUCUUUGCAAUAAAAUUACUAGAACAUCCAGUGACUGGUGUUGAUUCGUCCAUAAUCACUCAGGAGAAAAUGAGUGAAUAUAGGAUGCAGUUAACGUGUCAAUUGUGGGCGAACACUCUGUAUUUGUGUAUAAAACAUGUAUUUUUAUUGCAUUUUUUGUGUAUGUUGAAGGAUCUCAAAACGAGAGUUCCAUGAGCGGGUUUAGAUCGCUCUGAUUUCACCGUGACCGAAAUAUAAAUGA